rnacentral:rRNA from 1 species
GACGAACGCUGGCGGCGUGCUUAACACAUGCAAGUCGAACGGGCCUUGUCCCCUUUUUUUUUGGGGGUGGGGUUAGUGGCGAACGGGUGAGUAACACGUGAGUAACCUGCCCCUCACUUCUGGAUAACCGCUUGAAAGGGUGGCUAAUACGGGGUGUUCUGGCCUGCUCGCAUGGGUGGGUUUGGAAAGAUUCGACCGGUUUUGGUUGUUUUGGUGGGGGAUGGGCUCGCGGCCUAUCAGCUUGUUGGUGGGGUGAUGGCCUGCCAAGGCUUUGACGGGUAGCCGGCCUGAGAGGGUGGGCGGUCACACUGGGACUGAGACACGGCCCAGACUCCUACGGGAGGCAGCAGUGGGGAAUAUUGCACAAUGGGCGCAAGCCUGAUGCAGCGACGCCGCGUGAGGGAUGGAGGCCUUCGGGUUGUGAACCUCUUUCGUCAGUGAAGAAGGUCCUGCUCUUUGUGGUGGGGUUGACGGUAGCUGGGUUAAUGAAGCGCCGGCUAACUACGUG